GUUAUUGGGAUUCGACUAAGCCAUGCGAGUCGUGAGGGUUCGGCCCUCGGCGAACGGCUCAGUAACACGUAGAUAAUUUGCCCUUAGGUGGAGGAUACCCUCGGGAAACUGAGAAUAAUACUCCAUAGAUUUAGAAUGCUGGAAUGCUUUUAAAUUGAAAGAUUUAUCGCCUAAGGAUAAGUCUGCGGACUAUCAGGUCGUAGUUAGGGUAAAUACCUGACUAGCCUACGACGGAUACGGGUUGUGAGAGCACUAGCCCGGAGAUGAUAUCUGAGACACGAUAUCAGGCCCUACGGGGCCGCAGCAGGCGCGAAAACUUCGCACUGUGCGAAAGCACGACGAGGGAAUCCCAAGUGCUGGCUCGUAAGAGUCAGCUGUUUCUUUGUCUAAAAAACAGAGAGAGUAAGAGCUGGGUAAGACGGGUGCCAGCCGCCGCGGUAAUACCUGCAGCUCAAGUGGUGGCCGCUAUUAUUGGGCCUAAACGUCGUAGCCGUUCUAUAAUGCCUGGGUAAUCGUACGGCUUACUGUACGAUUCCGGGUAAACUGUUCAACUUGGGAACCGGAAAAGGCUAAGGUACUCCUGGGGUAAAGGUGAAUUCUGUAAUCCUAGGGG
rnacentral:rRNA from 1 species